AUCUCGCCAUGGCACCAGCUGCCUCUUCUUCCCCAGCACUUAGGUGGGCUUCCUGGAUCAAUGGUCACUCUGGACAAGCCCCUGGAUCCCAUGGUCUCUGUGACCAACCAGCCAAAUUGCUGCUUGCAAACAUCUGCUUCCAUUGAAGGCUUCCUGCAGCCCACCAGCUCUCUGGAACUUUCUGGAGCCAAACCUUUCCCAGACUGCCUAAAAGUGCCAGUUGGCUUCUGGAUGGAGGUGUGGCCUGCCACGUUGUGGCAGGGCCCCCAGAGCCAUGUGGACCCAGCCCUUUCUUUGGACACCACUGCCCAGUGCUGAUGACACGUGCACUCUCCUUGCAGCACCCACUGCAGAUGUCUGACCAGGACCCACAGGAGACGGCUGUGAAGUACUUGACCAUUCCCAAGGGGCUGUGUAGGUUCCAGACAUUUCUGGGCCGCUACGCUUGAUCAGGUUUGGGGACCCAGAGGUGAAUCCGAUCCAGCCCAGCAUUUGUGGGAUCCGAGUCUAGCAAAGAAGAGAGGUUCGUGCUCUGGGACAGUUAGCCCUGGAGCCUUGAAUGGUGCUUACAAGGGGCAUCUGUUGCCAAGGCCAAGACUUCAGUGCACAGAAGUGGAAACUGAGGCAGUCAUCAGCGAGAUGUGAUUUGCCAAGGUCACACAGCAAGUCAGUGUGUUGCCAAGACUAGGACCCAGACCCCGCCUCCUGGCCCAGGCUCUUUCUCCACAUCUUGAUCCCAGGGCCAGCCUUUGAGAGGCAUGCAAGGUCACUGCACUGUGAGCCAAGGGCUUGGCUCAGGGCCACCUCCACUAAGUGUUGACUGUGUCACCUGAGUCACUCCAUUCUCUGCACUUAGCCUCAGUCACCCAAGAAGGAUGAUCUCUAAGGGGCCCCUCCUCCAAUUGUGAAUCUGAGAUUCUAUGAAUUGGGUAUUUUGGCCAGGCUGUGAGGUCCCCUGUGGCUGGCUGUGGGAUACUGCUUGAGGGGGUUUUCUUCCUCCCAUCAGCCUGAAGCUAAGGAAUGCUGGAGACAGUAGUUGCUUCAGCCUCGGGCUGUGUGGACCACUGAGGAUGGCCUGGGGGUCUGUUUUGUGCACCUUGGAACCCAUCGGAUGCCUCCAACGAUGCAUUUGUCCAGAGCAAGACAAGAACAAGAUACACUUUGACAGCUCUCUGUCAAGAUCCUUGCCCCAAAUCUCCAGAGAAGCAGCCAGGAGUCUCCAUGCUGUUCUGAAGAAGCAGAUUCCCUACCCACCCUUCAAUCCUUCCCAGGAGGUCAUCUUCCUCAAAACCUCUGGAAGAUACACCUCCUCUUCUGUAAUAGAGGUUGAGGGGUGAUGUCCCCCUAGGUCCCCAAUAAAGCUAUACAAGACAGGGGCAAUGGAUCUCACGGCAUGUUCUUGCUAUAAAAAGCCCUUUUUUGGAAAAAAUAAUAAAGAAAGGAAUCAGCCAAUCCCUCCUCGA